rnacentral:lncRNA from 1 species
CCAAAUUCAGUAUAAUUAUUGAUCUCCGUGAAGGCAGCAGCAUCCUCAGCUUGUUAACCUAAGCAAGCCAACCAUUCUUAGUGACAGACAGACCUCAUGUCUUUCUUCCCCGUAAAUGUUGGUACACACAAAUUGCAAGCAAAGCAGCUGCCCAGGUAGGUUGACCUUGGGGACUUAACAAUACAAUAGAUGAAGCUUUAGCCGUUGUGUUUAGGGUUGGAGUCCAUUAUAAGUUGCGAGGGUGUUGGGCUGUCGGCACAAACAAGCCACCCACCCAACGCUGCAAACAACAAAUCAAAGAGCGUUUCUCACGACACUAUCUACCCACUCUUGGCACUAUCUACCAUCUACCCCAGCUUGGAUUUGCAUAUGCUUUCCGCUCCUCCUCAAAAGGAGACCCUCUUCUU